CCUACGGGAGGCAGCAGUGAGGAAUAUUGGUCAAUGGACGAGAGUCUGAACCAGCCAAGUAGCGUGAAGGAUGAAGGCCCUAUGGGUUGUAAACUUCUUUUAUAAAGGAAUAAAACGAGGCACGUGUGCCUUUUUGCAUGUACUUUAUGAAUAAGGAUCGGCUAACUCCGUGCCAGCAGCCGCGGUAAUACGGAGGAUCCGAGCGUUAUCCGGAUUUAGUGGGUUUAAAGGGAGCGUAGAUGGGUUGUUAAGUCAGUUGUGAAAGUUUGCGGCUCAACCGUAAAAUUGCAAUUGAUACUGGCAGUCUUGAGUACAGUUGAGGUAGGCGGAAUUCGUGGUGUAGCGGUGAAAUGCUUAGAUAUCACGAAGAACCCCGAUUGCGAAGGCAGCUUACUAAACUGUGACUGACAUUGAUGCUCGAAAGUGUGGGUAUCAAACAGGAUUAGAUACCCUGGUAGUC
rnacentral:rRNA from 1 species